rnacentral:rRNA from 1 species
AGGAUGAACGCUAGCGGCAGGCCUAAUACAUGCAAGUCGAACGGGGUGCUGCAGCAAUGUAGCACUUAGUGGCGCACGGGUGCGUAACGCGUAUGCAACCUACCCCUUCCUGGGGCAUAGCCUUCCGAAAGGGAGAUUAACACCGCAUAACAUCACACUUUGGCAUCAGGGAGUGAUUAAAUCUACGGAGGGAAGGGAUGGGCAUGCGUCCGAUUAGCUGGUUGGCGGGGUAGUGGCCCACGAAGGCGACGAGUCGGUCGGGGACUGGAGACGGGCGACGUCCCCCAGCGUCGCACGUGAGGUACGGCAGACUCGAGG